CACGUAGGGCGCGAGCGUUGUCCGGAUUUAUUGGGCGUAAAGAGCUCGUAGGCGGUUUGUCGCGUCUGCUGUGAAAACUGGAGGCUCAACCUCCAGCCUGCAGUGGGUACGGGCAGACUAGAGUGCGGUAGGGGAGAUUGGAAUUCCUGGUGUAGCGGUGGAAUGCGCAGAUAUCAGGAGGAACACCGAUGGCGAAGGCAGAUCUCUGGGCCGUAACUGACGCUGAGGGGCGAAAGCAUGGGGAGCGAACAGG
rnacentral:rRNA from 1 species